rnacentral:tRNA from 1 species
GCCCCUGUCGUCUAGUGGACUAGGAUAGCUGUUUUUCAGGCAGCGGACCGGAGUUCGAAUCUCCGCAGGGGUA